rnacentral:rRNA from 1 species
UACGUGAGGGGCAAGCGUUGUCCGGAUUUAUUGGGCGUAAAGAGCGUGUAGGCGGUUCGGUAGGUCCGUUGUGAAAACUCGAGGCUCAACCUCGAGACGUCGGCGGAAACCAUCUGGCUAGAGUCCGGAAGAGGAGAGUGGAAUUCCUGGUGUAGCGGUGAAAUGCGCAGAUAUCAGGAAGAACACCCGUGGCGAAGGCGGCUCUCUGGGACGGUACUGACGCUGAGACGCGAAAGCGUGGGGAGCGAACAGG